GAUGAACGCUAGCGAUAGGCUUAACACAUGCAAGUCGAGGGGCAGCAUGAACAAAGCUUGCUUUGUUUGAUGGCGACCGGCGCACGGGUGCGUAACACGUAUGCAACUUACCCAUAAAUCGGGGAUAACCCGGAGAAAUUCGGACUAAUACCCGAUGGUAUUAAGAGAAGGCAUCUUCAUUUAAUUAAAGAUUUAUCGAUUAUGGAUAGGCAUGCGCAUGAUUAGCUAGUUGGUGGGGUAACGGCUCACCAAGGCGACGAUCAGUAGCCGGUCUGAGAGGAUGAACGGCCACAUUGGGACUGAGAUACGGCCCAGACU
rnacentral:rRNA from 1 species